UACAGAGGUCCCAAGCGUUGUUCGGAUUCAUUGGGCGUAAAGGGUGCGUAGGCGGCGCGGUAAGUCGGGUGUGAAAUCUUGGAGCUUAACUCCGAAACUGCAUUCGAUACUGCCGUGCUUGAGGACUGGAGAGGAGACUGGAAUUUACGGUGUAGCGGUGAAAUGCGUAGAUAUCGUAAGGAAGACCAGUGGCGAAGGCGGGGUCUCUGGACAGUUCCUGACGCUGAGGCACGAAGGCCAGGGGGAGCAAACGGG
rnacentral:rRNA from 1 species